CUUCAUGAGAUGCAGAACCUCCAGGAGC
rnacentral:piRNA from 1 species